rnacentral:lncRNA from 13 species
AUCAGGAAUCCACAGAUAAAACGUCUUUCUCCCCAGAAGGAACAUUCUGUGCAACGCCUAAAGAGUUUGAGGGAGUCGCUGGAGAGGAGUCGCCUCAAGUUCUCCCUCCAGGGGGGAAAGGUCACGGCCCUCUGUCCACAGGAGGGGGAGCAGCUGUGGACUCUGAACAUCAAGAGAGCUCUACUGAGCAUGCUCCAGACCUCCCGCACCGCCGAGAAGCAGGAAGUAGUGAAGGAGGUGAGGGGGGAAUGAUCCGUCUCCCAAUAUGAGUAAUAGCAGGAUAGGUCAUGCAUGAUAGGCCAUGCAUUUGCAGUAGGAGGAUGACAUAUUGCAGUGGUGUCCAAAGUCUGUUCUGCACGGCUACUGUGGGUGCAGGUUUUUGUUCCAGCCCAGCACUAACCCAGUUAACUAAGUAAUUAUGAUCUGCAUUGAAUACCAUGAUUCAUUAAUUAUUUGGAUCAAGUGUGUCACAGCUGGGCUGGAACAAAAGCCUGCACAUCCUGUAGCUCUCCAGAACCAAGUUUGGACACCAGGUCUUCAUAUCAUAUUGUACAUUGGACAAUCCUCUGUCUUUUUUCCUUCCCGUGUCAAUUCUUCAGACGGAUCUGUACGGGACCUGCACGAGUAAGUAUGAGAGGAGAGGGCCUCUACUGGUGAAGACGAGGAACCUCAGGCAGUGUCAACAGGACCGACUGGCUUACUUCUGGCCCAAUUCCACCCCUCUGAGAGAGGACACGGUGAGAUCUUCUACCAUCCUCUCCCCCCCUCAACAUGGAACAGUCAAUGGUUACCAUAGUCACAACCAAUCACUGAUGUCUUUCUCUUGCAUUGAUAUUGGGACAUGCAGUGCAUAAUGAAAUCCAGAAGUGCUAGGGACUGAUGCCCAUUUCUGUGACUUGGAAACCUUCUAGUGAAAGUUUGGUUCGUAAAGGAUCUGUUAGAUUGUCAGUAGGUUUCAGAUGGAUCUAAAAAUUGGUAGCCUGAGUCCCAGAUCGUUUUGUGCUGUCUUGCCAACUCCAUUGCUGUCAUGGCGUGACAAAGACAGCACAAACAGAUAUGGGACUCAGGCUGAACCAUUUGUGUCAAAUAAGCAAAAUGCCGUACCUUCCACCAGUAUCUUGUGUAACCUCAAUCCAGUUAACACUUCCACUUUUACCAAGGGGUGUUCCUAUCUCUUAUGUCCACUUCAGACAGUGGACUCCAAACUCCAAUGUACCCAGCGGCAUGGGACUACAGUGAUGGAGGAGGUCAACUGCACAGAGAUCAUCUCCAUGGUACCAUUGUCAGGGUCAACAGGAGUGGUGAAGACCCAGACCGUCUCUACCCUUACGCUGCUCAGAGCCCAGAAAGGCACACCCUCAGGAGUGGAUACGCUGGGUCCAGGUGUCCUGAGUGACCUCCAGUUUGUGGAGGAGGGGGCUGAAGGCCAAGUCCGAGGCAGGACGUCCUCCCCCCAAGAGGCCACGGACACCGUGAGGAAGCUGUGUGGUCUUACCUCUGACCAGCAACAGGUAGGACCCCAAUUUUCCAAGACAUCAUAAGGGAGUAAUUCACGCUUAUGACUAGUCUUACAAUGCAUUAUAGUCAAUCAAUCAGAUUUAUUUAUAAAGCCCUUUUUAAAUCAGCAGAUGUCACAAAGUGCUUAUACAGAAACCCUAGGCUAGGAAAAACAUCCUAGAAAAGGCAGGAACUCAGGAAGAAACCUAGAGAGGAACCAGGCUCUGGGGGGUGGCCAGUCCUCUUCUGGCUGUGCCGGUUGGAGAUUAUAAGAGUACAUGGCCAUUACGGUCAGAUUGUUCUUCAAGAUGUUCAAACAGUCAUAGAUGACCAGUAGGGUCAAACAAUAAUCACAGUGGUUGUAGAGCAGUGGUCACCAACCUUGUCUAAGUCAAGAUCACUUUCGCAGUCAAAAAGCACGCUAAGAUCUGCUCAGAUUUUUUUUUUUUUUACCGUUAACCUCACAGAAACAGUUUUGUAGGAAUGAGGUUUGGGCUGUAGUCGUAAUACAUAUCACAGCAUAUUGGCUAUAUGAUUGGCCUGCCAAUAUUGUUAAUCAGACCAUAUUAUAUUUCAAAACUCGAGCUUUGAUAACAAAAUAGAUCAGUUGGUUCAGCACUUGUGAGGCACUGUGGAGCAUGAAUUGAAAUCGUUUGCUUUGAUAUUUUGCUGGGCUGAUGGUACCUGCAUCUGAUGGCCGGCGAGGUCAAAUCGCCACGUCAGUGAUCUUCAGGUCAAAAAGUCGGAAGAGUUUCCGACUUGGAAUUCCGAGUUGGAUGACCGUUCAAAACGUUUUUUCCUUGAAGAUCGACUAGUUGGAAUAAAUGUCAGGAAUGUCAGUCAGGAAUAAAUGUCAGUUGGCUUAGCAAGCGUUCAGAGGCUGAGACACCAGGUGCGGUAGAGAGAGAGGGAGAGGGAGAGAGAGGGUCGGGGUUCCAUAGCUGCAGGCAGAACAGUUGAAACUGGAGCAGCAGCAAUACAAGGUAGCACAUCUGGUGAACAGGUCGGGGUUCCAUAGCCACAGGCAAAACAGCAGAAACUGAAUCAGCAGCACGACCAAGUGGACUGGGGACGGAGAAAGCCAGGAGAAAGCCAUACUUAAGUUCACACAGGACACCAUAUAAGACAGGAGAAUUUCACCAGAUAGGACAGACUGACCCUGGGCCCAGGCUCAUAGACUAUUGGAGCAUAGACACUGGAGGCUGAGACAGGGGGGGUCGGGGGACACUGUGGCCCUGUUCGACGAUACACCUGGACAGGGCCAACCAGGCAGGAUAUAACCCCACCCACUUUGCCAAAGCACAGCCCCCACACCACUAAAGGGAUAUCAACAGACCACCAACUUACUACGCUGAGACAAGGCUGAGAUUAGCCCACGAAGAUCUCCUCCACCGCACGAGUCCGACGCGGCGCAAAACCAGACAGGAAGAUCACGUCAGUGACUCAAUCCCUCCUAGGGACGGCAUGGAAAAACACUAGUGAAACAGGGUCUCAGAGGCAGAGAAUCCCAGUGCAGAGAGGGGAGCCGGCCAGGCAGAGACACCAAGGGCAGUUCGUCACUCCGGUGCCUUGCCGUUCACCUUCACACCCC